rnacentral:rRNA from 1 species
UACGUAGGGUGCGAGCGUUGUCCGGAAUUAUUGGGCGUGAAGAGCUCGUAGGCGGUUUGUCGCGUCGACUGUGAAAACCUACAGCUUAACUGUGGGCUUGCAGUCGAUACGGGCAGACUUGAGUUCGGUAGGGGAGACUGGAAUUCCUGGUGUAGCGGUGAAAUGCGCAGAUAUCAGGAGGAACACCGGUGGCGAAGGCGGGUCUCUGGGCCGAUACUGACGCUGAGGAGCGAAAGCGUGGGGAGCGAACAGG